rnacentral:rRNA from 1 species
CCUACGGGGUGCAGCAGUGGGGAAUAUUGGACAAUGGGCGAAAGCCUGAUCCAGCCAUGCCGCGUGUGUGAAGAAGGCCUUCGGGUUGUAAAGCACUUUCAGUGGGGAAGAAAGCCUUGGGGCUAAUACCCUCGAGGAAGGACAUCACCCACAGAAGAAGCACCGGCUAACUCCGUGCCAGCAGCCGCGGUAAUACGGAGGGUGCGAGCGUUAAUCGGAAUUACUGGGCGUAAAGCGCGCGUAGGCGGUCUGAUAAGCCGGUUGUGAAAGCCCCGGGCUCAACCUGGGAACGGCAUCCGGAACUGUCAGGGUAGAGUGCAGGAGAGGAAGGUAGAAUCCCCGGUGUAGGGGUGAAAUGCGUAGAGAGCGGGAGGAAUACCAGUGGCGAGGGCGGCCUUCUGGACUGACACUGACGCUGAGGUGCGAAAGCGUGGGUAGCAAACAGGAUUAGAUACCCCAGUAGUC